AUGUUGGUGGUGUGGACACUCUCGAAGAAGAGCCUUGAAGAAUUCCCAAGCAUGAUAAAGAUUUUCAUCAGGCUUUUGUUUGAAGCUCACAAUCUCACUGCAAAGUCU
rfam:Capsicum annuum cultivar Zunla-1 chromosome 11, whole genome shotgun sequence